UUCAACAUAAUUUGUAAGAUGAUGAGAAGCAGAAGCAUAAAGCAAAGAUCAUGAUUAACACCAUGGAAGAAGCAAAACAUAGAAAGGAAGAGGAAACCUCCCAUGUUUUAGGACAUGGGAGAGAAUUCAUUCCUACAUGAGGUGUAAGGGGAAAUAGAGCAAGAGGCAGAGACAUUCUACAUGCCUGGGGAGCGGGAUGUGGUGGAGAGUUACCUAAACCAAAACCCAAACGUUAUGCCUGUGGGCUAGAAGGACACUUUAGGAGAGAUUGUCCUAUACUAAAGAAAGAA